CCCUUAGAUGUUCUGGGCCGCACGCGCGCUACACUGACGCAUUCAACGAGUCUCCUUGGCCGAGAGGCCUGGGUAAUCUUGUGAACGUGUGUCGUGAUAGGGAUAGAUUAUUGCAAUUAUUAAUCUUGAACGAGGAAUUCCUAGUAAACGCAGAUCAUCAAUCUGCAUUGAUUACGUCCCUGCCCUUUGUACACACCGCCCGUCGCACCUACCGAUUGGAUGGUCCGGUGAGGCCUCGGGAUUGUGGCCGGUGCAUUCAUUUGUGUCGGUUGCGAGAACUUGUCCAAACCUUAUCAUCUAGAGGAAGGUGAAGUCGUAACA
rnacentral:rRNA from 1 species